rnacentral:rRNA from 1 species
UCUUGGUCAUUUAGAGGAAGUAAAAAGUCGUAACAAAGGUCUCCGUUGGUGAACCAGCGGAGGGAUCAUUAUCGAGUUAUUCAACUCCCAAACCCUAUGUGAACUUACCACUUGUUGCUUCGGCGCGCGCUUCGGCGCCGCCGAGGACACUUAAACUCUUUGUUUUUAUAAGCAUUUCUGAGUGGCCGAAAGGCAAAAAUACAAAUGAAUCAAAACUUUCAACAACGGAUCUCUUGGUUCUGGCAUCGAUGAAGAACGCAGCGAAAUGCGAUAAGUAAUGUGAAUUGCAGAAUUCAGUGAAUCAUCGAAUCUUUGAACGCACAUUGCGCCCGCCAGCAUUCUGGCGGGCAUGCCUGUUCGAGCGUCAUUUCAACCCUCGAGCCCGACUCUUUUGAGGACGGCUCGGCGUUGGGGGACGGCAGACUCCCCCCGGCAUCUCGCCGGGGACGCCGCCCCCGAAAUCUAGUGGCGGCCCUCCGAGGCGACCUCUGCGUAGUAACUUGUUCUCGCACCGGAAAGCUCAGAGCGGCCACGCCGUAAAACCCCAACUUUUUUCAGGUUGACCUCGAAUCAGGUAGGACU